rnacentral:rRNA from 1 species
GGGGAUCUUACCGGGUCCGGACACACUGAGGAUUGACAGACGGUUAUUGACUUAUACUCGCUUAAUGGCUUUAAGCUGUUAAGUGUUUAACACCUUUACACAAAGAUGCUAGUCCUUUCAUGAUCGUUUGAUAGGUGGUGCAUGGCCGUUCUUAGUUCGUGGAGUGAUCUGUCUGCCUAAUUGCGUUUCACUAAGGUCCCAUUCUUCAUACGUAUGAAUAGCGUCUUAACUCACUUUUACCGCUACCUAUUUGUAGUAAGCGCUCAUACUAUUGGGACCGGAAUGCAACGAGCGCGACUGCACCACCUAAUUGCCCCUUAUCUACCAUUAAUUACUUUAUUAACCGCCCUGUACGGGCACCGGGGCCUUACCUUUACUGAAACUAGCUGGACCGCUGCUUUCCUUUAAGCCAGAGGAAGGUUGCGGCAAUAACAGGUCUGUGAUGCCCUCAGAUGUCCCGGGCUA